rnacentral:rRNA from 1 species
UUCCUUCUGCUUUAUUUGCCUUCCCCUUGUUACGACUUUUACUUCUUCAUUUGGAAGUUAAUGUCGUAACAAGGUUUCCGUAGGUGAACCUGCGGAAGGAUCAUUA